UCGAGCGGAAGGCCCUUCGGGGUACUCGAGCGGCGAACGGGUGAGUAACACGUGAGCAACCUGCCCCAAGCUUUGGGAUAACCCUCGGAAACGGGGGCUAAUACCGAAUAUUACUUCUGGCCGCAUGGCUGGUGGUGGAAAGUUUUUCGGCUUGGGAUGGGCUCGCGGCCUAUCAGCUUGUUGGUGGGGUGAUGGCCUACCAAGGCGACGACGGGUAGCCGGCCUGAGAGGGCGACCGGCCACACUGGGACUGAGACACGGCCCAGACUCCUACGGGAGGCAGCAGUGGGGAAUAUUGCACAAUGGGCGGAAGCCUGAUGCAGCGACGCCGCGUGAGGGAUGACGGCCUUCGGGUUGUAAACCUCUUUCAGCAGGGACGAAGCGAGAGUGACGGUACCUGCAGAAGAAGCACCGGCCAACUACGUGCCAGCAGCCGCGGUAAGACGUAGGGUGCGAGCGUUGUCCGGAUUUAUUGGGCGUAAAGAGCUCGUAGGCGGCUUGUCGCGUCGACCGUGAAAACUUGGGGCUCAACCCCAAGCCUGCGGUCGAUACGGGCAGGCUAGAGUUCGGUAGGGGAGACUGGAAUUCCUGGUGUAGCGGUGAAAUGCGCAGAUAUCAGGAGGAACACCGGUGGCGAAGGCGGGUCUCUGGGCCGAUACUGACGCUGAGGAGCGAAAGCGUGGGGAGCGAACAGGAUUA
rnacentral:rRNA from 1 species